rnacentral:lncRNA from 1 species
GUUGUGUCGUUGGAAGCAAAAUUACAGGUAAUUGUCUAAGCUCCAGAGAAUAUUUGAAAAUCAAACCAGGCUGCUUUUGAUCUAUGCACGCUGCUAAACCCAAACCUCGUAAAAAAUCGAGUUUUUCCAUUAAUAUUGACAAUAAAAGUGUUUCUUUUUGUUAACUUGAAACCUAACAACCCUGUCUAAAGUCGUUUUUCUGUACAAGAAGUCCCCUAUAACUUGCAAGGGGAAAAAAAUGUUUGGGGGGAAAAAAACCAUCCUGUAGAAAUCCCAUCCACGUGGAGUUACAAAGAAGGCUGCAAAACACUAUUCCCCAGGAUGGCAGGCAAUGCUGGGAGUUAGAAAUGUAAAUGCGACCUUAAAUUCGGUAUUCAGAAGCAAGUUGACUCCGUUAUUCAGAUUACUGCAAAGCUCCUUCCUUUAAGGUGCACUUCUCUUGUAAAUGAAUAUUGUCAUGGAGUCUUCGCCGCAAUCUAAUUGAAAUCCGCUACUUUCGACAGAUAAACGGUGUGUUUGCAAAAUCACAACUACUUCCUCAAUCAAACUUCGAGUGGUUUCCUCCUGACAGGAGGUAAAUGUUGCCCUUGCUGGUGUUGUGCUUCAACCAGAGUGGACAAGCCCUUGAAAGGUCUAAGUAACAAAAAGAUGUCUGCUGCCCUGGGAAAGGUGAUCUGGAGGUGGUGGUCCCUUCCUUUCGAUGCUCAAAUGGAAGUCGUCAGCUGAAACCCAACGCCGUGCUGGAGUAGGCAGCGUGAACAUAAACCCUCCAAAGCAAGCACAGCCUCAUCAUGGUGCCCUUGCUUUCACUCGGCCAGCUUCGCCAUGAGAGUCCCUCGUUUUGGUAGGAAAAUAGGUCGCACCAAUUACAAUAGUGGAACCUAAAAUAAUUGCAUAUUCUCUUAGAGCUCUGCAGCUCUACGGUAAUGACGUUAUGAGCUAUUGUGAAUUGAAUAAAUUAAU